UACUGGGCGGCGACCGGCAAACGGGUGCGGAACACGUACACAACCUUCCUACAAGUGGGGAAUAGCCCAGAGAAAUUUGGAUUAAUACCCCGUAACAUAACGAUGUGGCAUCACAUUGUUAUUAUAGCUUCGGCGCUUGUUGAUGGGUGUGCGGCUGAUUAGAUAGUUGGCGGGGUAACGGCCCACCAAGUCUACGAUCAGUAGCUGAUGUGAGAGCAUGAUCAGCCACACGGGCACUGAGACACGGGCCCGACUCCUACGGGAGGCAGCAGUAAGGAAUAUUGGUCAAUGGACGAAAGUCUGAACCAGCCAUGCCGCGUGAAGGAUUAAGGUCCUCUGGAUUGUAAACUUCUUUUAUCUGGGACGAAAAAAGGCGAUUCUUCGUCACUUGACGGUACCAGAUGAAUAAGCACCGGCUAACUCCGUGCCAGCAGCCGCGGUAAUACGGAGGGUGCAAGCGUUAUCCGGAUUCACUGGGUUUAAAGGGUGCGUAGGCGGGCAGGUAAGUC
rnacentral:rRNA from 1 species